rnacentral:rRNA from 1 species
UACGUAGGGCGCAAGCGUUGUCCGGAAUUAUUGGGCGUAAAGAGCUCGUAGGCGGUUUGUCGCGUCUUCUGUGAAAACUCGAGGCUCAACCUCGGGCUUGCAGUGGGUACGGGCAGACUAGAGUGCGGUAGGGGAGACUGGAAUUCCUGGUGUAGCGGUGGAAUGCGCAGAUAUCAGGAGGAACACCGGUGGCGAAGGCGGAUCUCUGGGCCAUUACUGACGCUGAGGAGCGAAAGCGUGGGGAGCGAACAGG